rnacentral:rRNA from 1 species
GUGGCGCACGGGUGCGUAACGCGUGGGAAUCUGCCCUUGGGUGCGGAAUAACUUCCCGAAAGGGAUGCUAAUACCGCAUAAUGUCGCAAGACCAAAGAUUUAUCGCCCAAGGAUGAGCCCGCGUAGGAUUAGCUAGUUGGUGGGGUAAAAGCCUACCAAGGCGACGAUCCUUAGCUGGUCUGAGAGGAUGAGCAGCCACACUGGGACUGAGACACGGCCCAGACUCCUACGGGAGGCAGCAGUGGGGAAUUUUCCGCAAUGGGCGAAAGCCUGACGGAGCAAUACCGCGUGAGGGAAGAAGGCUCUUGGGUUGUAAACCUCAAAACUUAGGGAAGAAAAAAAUGACGGUACCUAAUGUAAGCAUCGGCUAACUCCGUGCCAGCAGCCGCGGUAAUACGGAGGAUGCAAGCGUUAUCCGGAAUCAUUGGGCGUAAAGAGUCCGUAGGUGGCACUUCAAGUCUGCUUUCAAAGACCGAAGCUCAACUUCGGAAAGGAAGUGGAAACUGAAGAGCUAGAGUAUAGUAGGGGUAGAGAGAAUUCCUAGUGUAGCGGUGAAAUGCGUAGAGAUUAGGAAGAACACCAGUGGCGAAGGCGCUCUACUGGGCAUAUACUGACACUGAGGGACGAAAGCUAGGGGAGCGAAAGGGAUUAGAUACCCCUGUAGUCCUA